rnacentral:rRNA from 1 species
UACGUUCCCGGUCUUGUACACACCGCCCGUCACACCACGAAAGUCGGCAACACCCGAAGCCGGUGGCCUAACCCUUGUGGAAGGAGCCGUCGAAGGUGGGGUCGGUGAUUGGGGUG